rnacentral:pre_miRNA from 12 species
GGAAGCAAAAAUCCCUAUUUCGUUCCUAAGUACUAGUGCCGCAGGAGAUUGACAUUUUAUAACAGCUCCUGCUGCUCCAGUGCUUAUCAAUGGAAAGGGUAAUACACCGGA